ensembl:lncRNA PPP1R3B-DT PPP1R3B divergent transcript
CAGCUGGUGACCUGAGAGGGCAGUGGCGCACCAGUCUCCAUGAAGGUUGAGCUCCGAUGGCCAACAGCCAUUUCCACCUUGUGGUCUACAACUCUUCAUCCCGACUGCAUGGAGGUUGGUCUCUCUCUUCAGCUGGAUUUAGGCCACCAUCUGAGCCCCCGGGGUACGUUUUGUCUGACCCUGGCGCCAUUCGAACGGUUCUUCUACAGCAUCAGGCGUUCACCUGGCUCCUAGGGCUUUUGUGCUGUAGGCCUAUAUUUCCAGCUACUUUUGGAAAAAAUCUCUCUGGAGGCUCAAUGAGCUUGUCACAUCAGCCUGCCCAGAGUAUCAAGAAAGACUUAAUCAGCAGUGAAUACUCUCCACCAAGCCCUUGACCCAUUGUCAGUCUCUGGCAUCAGAUCCUUUCCAGUAGGGCAAAGUGCAACUGCAGCCAGCUCAUGCCUUCAAGAGAAGGACUGAAGAUCAUUGUGUGCCUAAACCAAUUCUCUUUCCUGCCACCAUGUGAAGAAGGACAUGUUUGCUUCCCCUUCUGCCAUGAAUGUGACACCCCUGCUCCCCAUUCACCCUCCGCUAUCAGUAAAAGCUUCCUCAGACCUCACCAGAAGCUGGACAGAUAGAUGCUGGUGCCAAGCUUGUACAGACUGCAGAACCAUGGGCCAAAUAAACCUCUUUUCUUUAUAAAUU